UACAGAGGGUGCAAGCGUUGUUCGGAAUUACUGGGCGUAAAGCGCGUGUAGGCUGCAAUGUAAGUCGAGUGUGAAAGCCCUUGGCUCAACCAAGGAAGUGCAUUCGAUACUGCGUCGCUUGAGUGUCGGAGGGGGGUGGCGGAAUUCCCGGUGUAGAGGUGAAAUUCGUAGAUAUCGGGAGGAACACCAGUGGCGAAAGCGGCUUCCCUGGUCCAGCACCGACGUUCAGGCACGAAAGCGUGGGGAGCAAACAGG
rnacentral:rRNA from 1 species